UUGAUGAUCAGACACGCUGAUUUCAUUGUCUGAGGCGGCAGUGGAGAUCUAGGAAAAAUCUCUCUGAAUCCUACUGCCCCAGCACUGGCCUCGUCUGGGAUCCUCUGAUCCUAUCUGGGAUCCUCUGAUCCCUUCCGUGACCACAUCACGCCCGAGAUGAAUCUACGUUCAGUAUUUACUGUAGAACAACAAAGGAUUUUACAGCGUUAUUAUGAAAAUGGAAUGACAAAUCAAAGUAAAAAUUGCUUUCAGCUCAUAUUACAGUGUGCACAGGAGACUAAGCUGGACUUCAGUGUAGUCAGGACGUGGGUUGGCAAUAAGCGAAGAAAAAUGAGUAGUAAGAAUUCUGAAUCAGAAACAACUGGAACUCUUUCUGGUACCUCCUUGGCAGCUCCAGAACUUACAGUCAGAAAUGUGGUUAAUAGUGCUCGACUUUCAAGCCAACAGUCUUCUUGGACAUCAGCCAAUAAUGAUGUCAUUCUAACAGGUAUAUACAGUCCAGCCAGUUCAUUGAGUAGACAAGGAACAGCUAAACAUACAAAUACACAAAUUACAGAAGCACAUAAAAUUCCUAUUAAGAAAACAGCCAGUAAAAAUGAUACUGAGUUUCAGAUGCAUAUUCCUGUUCAAAGACAAGUAGCCCACUGUAAAAAUGCCUCCCUGCUCCUAGGUGAAAAAACAAUUAUUUUGUCAAGACAGACAAGUGUGCUAAAUGCUGGAAACUCAGUGUACAAUCACACAAAGAAAAACUAUGGAAGCUCUUCAGUGCAAGCUUCUGAAAUGACAGUACCUGAAAAGCCAUCUGUGUGCCACCGACCUUGCAAAAUUGAACCAGUUGGAAUUCAAAGGUCAUAUAAGCCUGAACAUAUAGGUAUGACAUCACAUAACUUAUGUGGGCAAAAGCCAGCUAUUAGAGACCCUUACUGUAGAACACAAAAUUUGGAAAUCCGUGAAGUGUUUUCAUUGGCAGUAAGCGAUUACCCCCAGAAAAUUCUUGGAGGAAGUGCCACGCAGAAGCCUCCAAGGUCAGCAGAAGGAACUUGUUUGUCCAUUGCAAUGGAGACUGGAGAUGCUGAGGAUGAAUAUGCCAGAGAGGAGGAGUUGGCAUUAAUGGGAGCACAAAUACCAAGCUACUCAAGAUUUUAUGAAAGUGGCAGUUCCAUUCGAAAUGAGAACCAAAGUACAACUUUGCCUGGACCAGGAAGAAAUAUACCAAAUUCACAAAUGUUGAGUAUUAGAGAUUUGUCAGACAAUAUACUAUAUCAAAACAGAGACUACCAUUUGACACCACGAACCUCAUUACAUACAGCAUCUAGUACAUUGUACAGUAAUACAAAUCCAUUACGGAGUAAUUUUUCUCCAAAUUUUUCAUCAUCAAACCAAUUGAGAUUAUCACAAAACCAAAACAAUUACCAGAUUUCAGGAAACCUUACUGUGCCUUGGAUUACAGGGUGUUCUAGAAAAAGAGCACUACAGGACCGCACACAGUUUAGUGACCAAGACUUAGCUACUCUUAAGAAAUAUUGGGACAAUGGCAUGACCAGUCUGGGCUCAGUUUGCAGAGAGAAGAUUGAAGCUGUUGCAACUGAAUUAAAUGUUGACUGUGAAAUAGUUCGGACUUGGAUUGGCAAUCGAAGAAGGAAAUAUCGUUUAAUGGGCAUUGAAGUUCCACCUCCAAGAGGAGGUCCUGCUGAUUUCUCUGAGCAGCCUGAGUCUGCUUCUUUCUCUGCUUUCACACCAGGAGAAGAAACAGGGCCUGAAGUAGGAGAUGAUAAUGACAGAAAUGAUGAAGUAUCCAUCUGUUUGUCCGAUGGAAGCUCUCAAGAAGAGCCCAAUGAAGUUGUUCCAAAUGAGACUAGGGUUCAUAAGAAGGAAAAGCAACAUGCAGUAUGCACAGAUAAUGUGAAAAUAGAAAUUAUUGAUGAUGAAGAAAAUGAUAUGAUAAGUAAUUCUGAAGUAGAACAAGUAAAUUCUCUCUUGGAUUAUAAGAAUGAAGAAUUCAGAUUCAUUGAAAAUGAACUAGAGAUUCAGAAGCAAAAGUAUUUUAAACUUCAAACUUUUGUUAGAAGCUUGAUAUUAGCUAUGAAAGCUGAUGAUAAGGAACAGCAACAGGCACUGCUGUCAGAUUUACCUCCUGAAUUAGAAGAGAUGGAUUUCAAUCAUGCCUCGCUGGAGCCUGAUGAUACCUCAUUCAGUGUGUCUUCUUUAUCAGAGAAGAAUGCAUCAGACAGUUUAUGAUUGAGGGGAGAUAUAUGAUACAGUAUUUUGGCUACUUAACAGUUCUUACAUUUUAUGAAACAAGAAGUCAAGGGACCUUCAUCUCAUAUCCAAGGGAGUUUCCUCAUCUCAGCUAGAUCAUUUGUGAUCACUUUUAAGAGAAAUUGUGAAAAUUUCGACUGCUAUCCUUCCUCCACAUUGCAGUAAUAGUAUAACAGGAACAUUGACUGGUUUUAAUGUAUUAUAUUUUCAUUCAAAUCUACAAAAUGUAAAAUUGUGGUCAAUUAUCAUUUUUAGGGAGUGAUGAGUGUCAUUUAAUCUAAAUUAUGGAUAGUUUUUCCCUUUGAAGUUGAUGUUAUCCUUGGCAGACAGCACCGUAUCAUGCCCUUCACCAAUCUGUCUAUGUAAUGCUAUAAUGGAGGAGCCUACUAACAUGUGAACAUACACUCAACAUACCAUUGUUUUAUACAAGCCAUUACUAAAAGCAGAUUUGCUAAGGGGGAAAAGAGAAUAAAGUGAUACUUUCAUGCAAAUUUUAUUAUGAUUGUUCUAUUGAAUUAUAAAUUAAGUAUCUAGUUCUCCACAUUGAAAUAUUACUUUGCAUUAACUUACUAAGUACAUAAUUCCUUUUGGCAAUCCUGCAUCCCAUUUUACUUGUACUACCUCUGAAGCAUACUAUCACCUUAAAACCACAUCAGAUUGUACCAUGAAUUUUUGUAGGAUUUUUAUUUAAACUUUUAUAGAUGCAAUAAAUAAUUUCCAACUAAUAGACAGUUAUUUCUUUAUUUUAAUAUUUCUAUUUCCAAUUCUUGGUGUUGUAUUUUUUAAAUUUUAAGAUGAAUUAGUUUCUUCUGAAAAUAAGGUUUUGAUAAAAAAGAUAAAUUCAGAGAAUAAUAGGGUGUUGUCUAUUAAAAAGAAGAGAACAUUGAAUACUCAAGUGAAAAUUUGGUUGACUUUCAAACUGAUAUGUAUACCAUCUUUAAUUGAUGUUAUUUAACAAAGAACUACCCUGACACCAAUGGAAUAAAAUUAAUAUUCUG